GAAAUGCGAUAAGUAAUGUGAAUUGCAGAAUUCAGUGAAUCAUCGAAUCUUUGAACGCACCUUGCACCCUUUGGCAUUCCGAAGGGUAUGCUCGUUUGAGUGUCAUUGUACUCUCACACUCUCUGAUCCUUUGGGAUUCGGGGAGCGGUGGACUUGGGUGUUUGCUGCUUUCCUUGUGGCUCACCUCAAAUGCGUCAGUGCACCUCUUGGUUGGACAUAGUACGGCGUGAUAAGUGUCUUCGCCGGCACCUCGCAAGAGGGUGGUCAAUUGGGAGCUCUGUGCUUUCAAACCGUCUUCGGACAAUAUCUGACAACUUGACCUCAAAUCGAGUAGGACUACCCGCUGAACUUAAGCAUAUCAAUAAGCGGAGGAAAAGAAACU
rnacentral:rRNA from 1 species